AGAAUCAACGCUGGCGGCGUGCCUAACACAUGCAAGUCGAACGAGAAAGUCCGCAAGGACAAGUAAAGUGGCGACCGGGUGAGUAACACGUGACUAACCUACCUUUUAGUGGGGGAUAACUCCGGGAAACCGGGGCUAAUACCGCAUAACAUCGCAAGAUCAAAGCAGCAAUGCGCUGGAAGAGGGGGUCGCGGCUGAUUAGCUAGGUUGGCGGGGUAAUGGCCCACCAAGGCGAAGAUCGGUA
rnacentral:rRNA from 1 species